rnacentral:rRNA from 1 species
UAUUAAAGUUGUUGCGGUUAAAAAGCUCGUAGUUGAAUCUGUGUCUCGCGCUGUCGGUUCACCGCCCGCGGUGUCAAACUGGCAUGCCGCGAGACGUCCUGCCGGUGGGCCGGCGGGGCGUUCGCGUCCCUACGGCCCGACUUGAAAUCCUACCGCGGUGCUCUUCACUGAGUGUCGAGGUGGGCCGGCACGUUUACUUUGAACAAAUUAGAGUGCUCAAAGCAGGCUAAAACUUCGCCUGAAUACUGUGUGCAUGGAAUAAUGGAACAGGACCUCGGUUCUAUUUUGUUGGUUUUCGGAACCCCGAGGUAAUGAUUAAUAGGGACAGGUGGGGGCAUUCGUAUUGCGACGUUAGAGGUGAAAUUCUUGGACGUCGCAAGACGGACAGAAGCGAAAGCAUUUGCCAAAGAUGUUUUCAUUAAUCAAGAACGAAAGUCAGAGGUUCGAAGGCGAUCAGAUACCGCCCUAGUUCUGACCAUAAACGAUGCCAGCUAGCGAUCCGCCGACGUUCCUCCGAUGACUCGGCGGGCAGCUUCCGGGAAACCAAAGCUUUUGGGUUCCGGGGGAAGUAUGGUUGCAAAGCUGAAACUUAAAGGAAUUGACGGAAGGGCACCACCAGGAGUGGAGCCUGCGGCUUAAUUUGACUCAACACGGGAAACCUCACCAGGCCCGGACACCGGAAGGAUUGACAGAUUGAGAGCUCUUUCUUGAUUCGGUGGGUGGUGGUGCAUGGCCGUUCUUAGUUGGUGGAGCGAUUUGUCUGGUUAAUUCCGAUAACGAACGAGACUCUAGCCUGCUAACUAGGCGUUACUUUCCGGCAUCUCGAAGGCUCGCGUCUCCCGUUCGCCGGUGCGUGCGAGUGUCGCGUCGCGGCGUCUCUGGCGUCCGCGCGUGCCUCGCGCGUCCGGUCGGGUGUUCGCGGUUUUUACUGCCGGCGUACACAUUAAUCUUCUUAGAGGGACAGGCGGCUCCUAGCCGCACGAGAUUGAGCAAUAACAGGUCUGUGAUGCCCUUAGAUGUUCUGGGCCGCACGCGCGCUACACUGAAGGAAUCAGCGUGUCCUCCCUGGCCGAGCGGUCCGGGUAACCCGCUGAACCUCCUUCGUGCUAGGGAUUGGGGCUUGCAAUUGUUCCCCAUGAACGAGGAAUUCCCAGUAAGCGCGAGUCAUAAGCUCGCGUUGAUUACGUCCCUGCCCUUUGUACACACCGCCCGUCGCUACUACCGAUUGAAUGAUUUAGUGAGGUCUUCGGACCGGCACGCGGCGAGGUUUCGACGUCGCCGAUGUCGCUGGGAAGAUGACCAAACUUGAUCAUUU